rnacentral:rRNA from 1 species
UCCACGCAGUAAACGAUGAAUGUUAGUCGUUGGGUAGCUAGUCUAUUCAGUGAUGCAGUUAACACAUUAAACAUUCCGCCUGGGGAGUACGGUCGCAAGAUUAAAACUCAAAGGAAUAGACGGGGACCCGCACAAGUGGUGGAGCAUGUGGUUUAAUUCGAAGAUACGCGAAGAACCUUACCUAGCCUUGACAUAUUUUAGAACUCCGUAGAGAUACAGAGGUGCCUUCGGGA